UACGGUCAUAUAACGUUCAAACAUCGGUUCUCAUCCGAUCCCGGAAGGUAAGCAACGUUGAAACUGAUCAGUACCUAAAUGGGUGACCGAUCGAGAAUACUAGGUGCUGUAAG